GUAGGGGGGCAAGCGUUGUCCGGGAAUUAUUGGGGCGUAAAGCGCGCGCAGGCGGUUUCUUAAGUCUGGUGUCUAAGUGCGGGGGGCUCAACCCCGUGACGCACUGGAAACUGGGAGACUUGAGUGCAGAAGAGGAGAGCGGAAUUCCACGUGUAGCGGUGAAAUGCGUAGAGAUGUGGAGGAACACCAGUGGCGAAGGCGGCUCUCUGGACUGUAACUGACGCUGAGGCGCGAAAGCGUGGGGAGCAAACAGGAUUAGAUACCCUGGUAGUCCACGCCGUAAACGAUGAGUGCUAGGUGUUGGGGGGUCCACCCCUCGGUGCCGAAGUUAACACAUUAAGCACUCCGCCUGGGGAGUACGGUCGCAAAGACUGA
rnacentral:rRNA from 1 species